CAAGAGACCUGUGCUCUGGUUAGCGGAGCCCCGGUGCCUUACGACAGGUGUGCUGGGUUACGCUACACCUGCCCCGUGGAUGCCAAGGGCACUGGGUCGGGGUCACCUGAUUCUGCGGGUUUAGGCAGAGGCGGCGCGGCGGCCUCUGCCUCACGUGAUCCGACUCGGGCAGCGUCGAGCGCGUCACCCUACGCCCCGCGCACUCGCUCGGUCAAGGUCUGCGCCUGCGCGGCCGCUGCUCGCCGGCUCGCCGACCUGCGGGCUGGCGGCUACCGGGCGCGGACCCGGGCGCGCAGCCGGGUGCCCGCUGCUAUGGGAACUGCAGUAUAAAAAUUGACUGUGGAGGAAAGAACCUAACAGACCAGUAACAAUGGAAGAAAUUGAGAAAGUUAUCAAAAAGCUACCAUCCCCCAAAACACCAGGCCCAGAUGGUGUUACAGGUGAAGUCCUUUAACUUGAAGGAAAAGGUAAUUUUGAUAAGGUUUAAAUUUUACACCCGCCUUGGGAAGGAAAAGUGACAGAUUGUUUUUACAGAGCUAAUGGAACAUGGACGCCUGAACUUGGUAUGAGAUAGUAAUAAAAUUAAAAAUUUGGUAUGUUCUAGUGAUGUG
rnacentral:lncRNA from 1 species